GACGAACGCUGGCGGCGUGCCUAAUACAUGCAAGUAGAACGCUGAAACUUGGUGCUUGCACCGAGCGGAUGAGUUGCGAACGGGUGAGUAACGCGUAGGUAACCUGCCUGGUAGCGGGGGAUAACUAUUGGAAACGAUAGCUAAUACCGCAUAAGAGUAGAUGUUGCAUGACAUUUGCUUAAAAGGUGCAAUUGCACCACUACCAGAUGGACCUGCGUUGUAUUAGCUAGUUGGUGGGGUAACGGCUCACCAAGGCGACGAUACAUAGCCGACCUGAGAGGGUGAUCGGCCACACUGGGACUGAGACACGGCCCAGACUCCUACGGGAGGCAGCAGUAGGGAAUCUUCGGCAAUGGACGGAAGUCUGACCGAGCAACGCCGCGUGAGUGAAGAAGGGUGUCGGAUCGUAAAGCUCUGUUGUAAGGGAAGAACGAGUGUGAGAGUGGAAAGUUCACACUGUGACGGUAUCUUACCAGAAAGGGACGGCUAACUACGUG
rnacentral:rRNA from 1 species